rnacentral:lncRNA from 1 species
GAUCUAAUGUGAACGAAAUUUAAUUUUAAAUUCCUAUGUAAAUAUAACCUAGAUUUCAAGCCUUGGUUGUUUCUUAGGCUGUAUGCUGCUUGCAAAAAAUGAUUCCAGAUUUGUGGGAAGAAUGAUGAUAUAACCCUGUGCAACUACCUGAGCAGUGGAAUUGGUACAAGAGCUUUGAAGAGAAGUAAAAGUUUUCCCUGUUUCCUAAAUAGAUGAAACACAUAGUUUCACUUUGGAAAUGGCAGACACGAGAUAUCAUGUAAUAAUGCACUGGCCAAUGAGAAGCCAGUCCUGAAUAUAUGCACAUUUUGUGAAUCUCCACUUGGAAGUGUCUGAAGAUGCAAAAUGGAAAGAGGACUAGAUCCCCACUUCAGGGCAUUUAAAGCACCUCUGAUGUCUCCGUUCCAUCUUUCUUCUUCUCGGGUCAUGAUUUAGAAGUCAAAGGCAAACACAACAGUCCUGAAGUGCCUCACAAUAAUUGCUAGAGGAGGUGCAGAAACAGCCCUAGACCAUACAUGACAUCUCUUGGAAUUUCUGGCUCCUGCCUAGCUCUCGAAGGAAGAACCCAGCUACCCAGCUCUGCCUAUACCUCCAAGCAAACAGUAAUCAGAAGAGACAUUAACCCAAGACCAAUAUACAGUUACUUAGGACAUUAUCAAGCCCAUCCCCUUGGAGCUGAGCACUGAAUUGCAUAAGCUUUACAAGCCAGCAUUCCAUCUUGAAAAUGGUUCAUGCUUUUUCUUUGCCCAAAUUCAGACAUGGGCAGAGUCAGAGAUGCAUCAGUUCAAAGAGUCACACUUUGUCUUUCUGGUAUGGGCCAUGAAGAUGAGAGAUGAUAGGGUUUUCUGGGUAAAUAUUUAUAGUGCUGCAUUCAGACGGCAAUUUAGCACUUAUUCCUGACCUCUGCCACCCUCACCCCCCUCACUUACAGAAAUAGUAACAGCUUCAAAAAGUGCUGGGUUGACUCCAUAAAGAACAUAUGUUUACUGAUUAGGGAAAACAGAAGAGGCCUUCUAAUGUGAAAAUAUGGGGUCCCUCAUGGGCUUAGGGUUUAAAAACAAAUUACGGG